UCCUAUUGUGCGGGACAACAAACAAUACAAGCAACACGCAGACCAGUAUACUAGAUAGCACUGUGAUAAUUAUUACAUAAUAUACAUGAUUUAGUAACAAAAACAAAAUGUGUGCACUUGUUUUUGUUACUAAAUCAUGUAUAGUAUGCAAUAAGAAUUACAGUGCUAUCUAGUAUACUGGUCUGCGUGUUGCUUGUAUUGUUUGUUGUGUUAAGUUGGC